CUUUACUGUAGCUUUGCAUUGGACUUUGACGGGAUUUGUGUAGGAUAGGUGGGAGGCUAUGAAACCGGGACGCUAGUUCCGGCGGAGCCAACCUUGAAAUACCACCCUGGUGUCGUCGAGGUUCUAACCCAGGUCUGUGAAUCCAGAUCGGGGACCGUGCAUGGUGGGCAGUUUGACUGGGGCGGUCUCCUCCCAAAAGGUAACGGAGGAGUACGAAGGUCACCUAGGUACGGUCGGACAUCGUACUGAUAGUGCAAUGGCAAAAGGUGGCUUGACUGCGAGACCCACAAGUCGAGCAGGUGCGAAAGCAGGUCAUAGUGAUCCGGUGGUUCUGUAUGGAAGGGCCAUCGCUCAACGGAUAAAAGGUA
rnacentral:rRNA from 1 species